rnacentral:tRNA from 1 species
GACUGUCUUAGCUCGGUUGGUAGAGUGUCGGAGUGCAAAUCCGGAUAUUGUGGGUUUAAAUCCCGACGUCCGUCG